AAGGGCUUAGUUUAAAAUAAAACAUUAACUUGUCAAGCUAAAAAUACUAAAUACAGUAGCCCUUA
rnacentral:tRNA from 1 species